UGCGCAGGCGGUUUUGUAAGACAGAGGUGAAAUCCCCGGGCUCAACCUGGGAACUGCCUUUGUGACUGCAAGGCUGGAGUGCGGCAGAGGGGGAUGGAAUUCCGCGUGUAGCAGUGAAAUGCGUAGAUAUGCGGAGGAACACCGAUGGCGAAGGCAAUCCCCUGGGCCUGCACUGACGCUCAUGCACGAAAGCGUGGGGAGCAAACA
rnacentral:rRNA from 2 species